GGAUCGAGUUAUUAUUACAUAAGUGGCCUGGACUUCUAUCCUGGCGAGCAGUUCAGGGUGUAGUGAGGAUAAAGCGGUACAGAAAAUGGAUGCCUGGAUGAAAAAAGAUGGUCACGUUCUCCAUCGAAAGCCGACGCUUGUGAUUGGCUCUCUCUGGUCAUGUGCCACCUCAAAGCGCCACGUUUAGUGCAAUCUAUUAGUUUUUCUGAGAUUUUGAAAAGGUUGUACUCAUCGUUACACUUUUGAACAUAUAAAAGAACAUUGACUUUUGAACAGUCAUCUUUAUAAUUCUGGACUUUUUUUCUUUUAAAUAUUCACUUAUCUGGAUUGUCAUUUGA